rnacentral:sRNA from 1 species
GACCUUCAUCUUCCUUUUCUGCUGGAAAUCAGGGGCCUUGCAGGAACCCAAAGGGUCUUUCCUUGCUCAACUCUCCAGUCACUGCCUCUGCCCUGAAAUGGACACUGCUUUUCUUGACUGCUCAGGGAC